rnacentral:rRNA from 1 species
ACGGUCCUAAGGUAGCGAAAUUCCUUGUCGGGUAAGUUCCGACCUGCACGAAUGGCGUAAUGAUGGCCAGGCUGUCUCCACCCGAGACUCAGUGAAAUUGAACUCGCUGUGAAGAUGCAGUGUACCCGCGGCAAGACGGAAAGACCCCGUGAACCUUUACUAUAGCUUGACACUGAACAUUGAGCCUUGAUGUGUAGGAUAGGUGGGAGGCUUUGAAGCGUGGACGCCAGUCUGCGUGGAGCCAACCUUGAAAUACCACCCUUUAAUGUUUGAUGUUCUAACGUUGGCCCCUUAUCGGGGUUGCGGACAGUGUCUGGUGGGUAGUUUGACUGGGGCGGUCUCCUCCCAAAGAGUAACGGAGGAGCACGAAGGUUAGCUAAUCCUGGUCGGACAUCAGGAGGUUAGUGCAAUGGCAUAAGCUAGCUUGACUGCGAGCGUGACGGCGCGAGCAGGUGCGAAAGCAGGUCAUAGUGAUCCGGUGGUUCUGAAUGGAAGGGCCAUCGCUCAACGGAUAAAAGGUACUCCGGGGAUAACAGGCUGAUACCGCCCAAGAGUUCAUAUCGACGGCGGUGUUUGGCACCUCGAUGUCGGCUCAUCACAUCCUGGGGCUGAAGUAGGUCCCAAGGGUAUGGCUGUUCGCCAUUUAAAGUGGUACGCGAGCUGGGUUUAGAACGUCGUGAGACAGUUCGGUCCCUAUCUGCCGUGGGCGCUGGAGAAUUGAGGGGGGCUGCUCCUAGUACGAGAGGACCGGAGUGGACGCAUCACUGGUGUUCGGGUUGUCAUGCCAAUGGCAUUGCCCGGUAGCUAAAUGCGGAAGAGAUAAGUGCUGAAAGCAUCUAAGCACGAAACUUGCCCCGAGAUGAGUUCUCCCUGACUCCUUGAGAGUCCUGAAGGAACGUUAAAGACGAUGACGUUGAUAGGUCGGGUGUGUAAGCGUAGCGAUACGUUGAGCUAACCGAUACUAAUGAACCGUGAGGCUUAACCUU